rnacentral:rRNA from 1 species
GAGUUUGAUCGUGGCUCAGGGUUAACGCUGGCGGUGCGCAUAACACAUGCAAGUCGAGCGAGGGCUUAUUUCUCGCAAGAGAGAUGAGUUCCUAGCGGCGAACGGGUGAGUAACACGUGGGCAACCUUUCCUAUCGCGGGGGAUAACACCGGGAAACCGAUGCUAAUACCGCAUGUCGUCACUGACCGCAUGGUUGGUGAAGAAAGCAGCAAUGCACGAUGGGGUGGGCCCGCGGCCUAUCAGCUAGUCGGUGGGGUAACGGCCUACCGAGGCGAUGACGGGUAGCUGGUCUGAGAGGACGGCCAGCCACACGGGGGACUGAGACACGGCCCCGACUCCUACGGGAGGCAGCAGUGAGGAAUCUUCCGCAAUGGGCGAAAGCCUGACGGAGCGACACCGCGUGUGGGAUGAAGUCUUUCGGGAUGUAACCACUGUCGGAGGGGAGACAAAAAGACGGUACCCUCCAAGAAAGCCCGGCUAACUACGUGCCAGCCGCCGCCGUAAC